UUAUCCCUAGGAGCAUACUCCUUGUUCCCAAACCACAUAUUCCAGAACCUUUUUAGAAAGCCAAUUUCAGGUGCAGAAUCAUGCUCUGCAGUUUGCAAUUGACCCUCACUUGCUUUAGCGACCACAUUCUCAGGUGGGGGCUGCUGAACUUCUGUUGAUACCUCCUGUACUCUCUGCGGUCCCGCGAAUUUUCUUGGAGAUGUCUUCACUUUCUGUUCAGAGGAUUGAGGUGACUUCUCAUCCUUGCC
rnacentral:lncRNA from 1 species